GCGGCUGUGGUGGAAUUGGCAGACACGCAAGAUUUAGGUUCUUGUAUCUUAACGAUGUGAGGGUUCAAGUCCCUCCAGCCGCA
rnacentral:tRNA from 1 species